UCUUCUUCCUUUUCCUCCUUUUUAAAAUACUUAGACAAGGAUCAGUUGUUGUGGAUUCUGUCCUGAUAUUCAAUGACACAAACAAUGUUCCGGACACUGCAAACGUGACCUCCACGCUGGAAGAAGCAAUUGCUACCAACAGUUCAGAUGUUGCUGAACUUGCCAUCAAUGGCAGCAGUAUAGUUGCUGAACGUGCGGUGUCUGUAACCACACAGUCACCAGCAUCCCCAGCUCAGACCUCCAUGGCAUCAACGCUGACAGUGACAGGUAAGUGUUAUGAAGCCAUUCAGUAGUUGGAUUCUGUCUUUCACUGACAACUCAAGUGCAGCCUAGUAUCCCCACAGCACAUCUACACAGUUUUACAAUGGGUGAAAUUUACAGUGCGGUGGAAAUUGUUUACCCAUUAAAUAUCAAUGCAGACCAGUCACGGGACCCAGAGAGUUCCAUAUAAUGGCUACUCAUUCAAUCACAUAACUGCCACAAUACUUAGCACUUGUUAGCCGAUCCACAGUAGAUCCAUACAUACACAACAGGUGUACCUCAGUUCUGAAAGACAUCUUGCCUAGGUUAAAUACAUUUACAAUUUGCAGUGCACCAAUAAAUAUUCACUUACCAUGCA
ensembl:lncRNA